CAGUAGCCGCGGUAAUACGUAGGGUGCGAGCGUUAAUCGGAAUUACUGGGCGUAAAGCGGGCGCAGACGGUUACUUAAGCAGGAUGUGAAAUCCCCGGGCUUAACCUGGGAACUGCGUUCUGAACUGGAUAGCUAGAGUGUGUCAGAGGGGGGUAGAAUUCCACGUGUAGCAGUGAAAUGCGUAGAGAUGUGGAGGAAUACCGAUGGCGAAGGCAGCCCCCUGGGAUAACACUGACGUUCAUGCUCGAAAGCGUGGGUAGCAGACAGGAUUAGAGACCCGUGUAGUCCCUGUCUCUUAUAC
rnacentral:rRNA from 1 species